AGAGUUUGAUCCUGGCUCAGGAUGAACGCUGGCGGCGUGCCUAAUACAUGCAAGUCGAGCGAACGGACGAGAAGCUUGCUUCUCUGAUGUUAGCGGCGGACGGGUGAGUAACACGUGGAUAACCUACCUAUAAGACUGGGAUAACUUCGGGAAACCGGAGCUAAUACCGGAUAAUAUUUUGAACCGCAUGGUUCAAAAGUGAAAGACGGUCUUGCUGUCACUUAUAGAUGGAUCCGCGCUGCAUUAGCUAGUUGGUAAGGUAACGGCUUACCAAGGCAACGAUGCAUAGCCGACCUGAGAGGGUGAUCGGCCACACUGGAACUGAGACACGGUCCAGACUCCUACGGGAGGCAGCAGUAGGGAAUCUUCCGCAAUGGGCGAAAGCCUGACGGAGCAACGCCGCGUGAGUGAUGAAGGUCUUCGGAUCGUAAAACUCUGUUAUUAGGGAAGAACAUAUGUGUAAGUAACUGUGCACAUCUUGACGGUACCUAAUCAGAAAGCCACGGCUAACUACGUGCCAGCAGCCGCGGUAAUACGUAGGUGGCAAGCGUUAUCCGGAAUUAUUGGGCGUAAAGCGCGCGUAGGCGGUUUUUUAAGUCUGAUGUGAAAGCCCACGGCUCAACCGUGGAGGGUCAUUGGAAACUGGAAAACUUGAGUGCAGAAGAGGAAAGUGGAAUUCCAUGUGUAGCGGUGAAAUGCGCAGAGAUAUGGAGGAACACCAGUGGCGAAGGCGACUUUCUGGUCUGUAACUGACGCUGAUGUGCGAAAGCGUGGGGAUCAAACAGGAUUAGAUACCCUGGUAGUCCACGCCGUAAACGAUGAGUGCUAAGUGUUAGGGGGUUUCUGCCCCUUAGUGCUGCAGCUAACGCAUUAAGCACUCCGCCUGGGGAGUACGACCGCAAGGUUGAAACUCAAAGGAAUUGACGGGGACCCGCACAAGCGGUGGAGCAUGUGGUUUAAUUCGAAGCAACGCGAAGAACCUUACCAAAUCUUGACAUCCUUUGACAACUCUAGAGAUAGAGC
rnacentral:rRNA from 1 species